CCUACGGGAGGCUGCAGUGGGGAAUAUUGGACAAUGGGGGGAACCCUGAUCCAGCCAUGCCGCAUGUGUGAAGAAGGCCCUCGGGUUGUAAAGCACUUUCAGUGAGGAAGAACGCCUGGUGGUUAAUACCCAUCAGGAAAGACAUCACUCACAGAAGAAGCACCGGCUAACUCCGUGCCAGCAGCCGCGGUAAUACGGAGGGUGCGAGCGUUAAUCGGAAUUACUGGGCGUAAAGCGCGCGUAGGUGGCUUGAUAAGCCGGUUGUGAAAGCCCCGGGCUCAACCUGGGAACGGCAUCCGGAACUGUCAAGCUAGAGUGCAGGAGAGGAAGGUAGAAUUCCCGGUGUAGCGGUGAAAUGCGUAGAGAUCGGGAGGAAUACCAGUGGCGAAGGCGGCCUUCUGGACUGACACUGACACUGAGGUGCGAAAGCGUGGGUAGCAAACAGGAUUAGAUACCCCUGUAGUC
rnacentral:rRNA from 1 species